GUUGCUCUCGGUCUCAGUUCCAAAUUUCCAAUACGCAAGCAAUUUCCCUGGGGCUGAAGACAACCACUAAUGUGAAAGAAACUUAGCAUCAGCAAGUCCAUGGUGUUUCUGGCCGACAAAUACUUUAAUUUCUCUACGCGUUGGCGCGUCUCCCUAAACCACAUACAGGUGGUGGUGCAGCUAGCCAUGGCGCAGUGGGACAACUUAGGCUGCGCGGCCUCCGUCGCGCAGCUGGCCGGAGUGGACGCGCUGGGGCUCAUCUCGACGAUCCUGCAGGCAGCCCAGGCGGUUCGGCACAACCGAGAGACCUGCCAGGAGCUGGUGCAGGACCUGCAGAUGAUGGAGGACCUGCUGAAGCUGCUGAAAGAGCCGGAGAUGAUGAGGCAGGACGAGAUCAAGAACGUGCUCAACGGGCUGGACACGACGCUCAGGGAGGCCGACAGCCUCGUCCAGUCCUGCCGGGAUUGCAGCGCCGCGUACCGCGUCUUCAUGGGAUGGAAGCAGAGCGACCAGUUCCGGCGCGUCAAGAAGAAGAUCGCCAAGCACCUCAGGUUCUACCCUAUGAUCAGCCACGCCGACAUAACCCGCCGCCUCGAAGAACUUGGCAGGAGUGUGCAGUUGUCAUCGUCAUCCCAGCAGGAUUCACAAGAGCUGCGGACAUCGUCUACCAGCAGCCAAAACCCUGAAACUCGGAGUCUAGUUGGGACACCUUCUGUAAUGGAAACUGAACCAGUUGAAAUUGAAACUGAGCCUGCUGAAAUUGAAAUGACCCAAGCACGAACGGAGUCCACUAUAGUUGAGGAACACCAGCAAGCAGGUAGUAAUGAGAAGAAUGGUUCAUUGCCGACUAAGAAGCGGAGAUUUGUGUUGAAGUUGCCUCUUUCGGGGAAAAAGUGGUCGACGUUUGCACGGGAGAAGGGAGUAGUAGAAACACCACCUUUCAUUGCUGAACUGACCGGAGCAGGCUUCACAUUUUUCCACUUCACCCAAUUGUCCGCAGCAACAAAUAAUUUUGCGUCUGAAUACAAAAUUGAAGGUUGGGGAUCAGAUGAUGUUUACAAGGGACGGUUGCCCAAUGGACUUGAAAUCAUGAUCAAAAGGAAACCACAUCCAAAUACUUCUGAACCAUUGAUCAGAUUGAAAGAUGAAAUUCGGUUUCUUGCAAAGCUUCAACACAUGAACAUAGUUAAGCUUGUCGGAUGUUGCACCGAAAGAGGAGAGGCACUUCUAGCCUAUGAAUACAUGGCAAAUGGAAGAUUGACUGACAUCAUAAGUGUUGGCACAGGAACAAAGAGAUUUCUUGACUGGUCUAAGCGCUUCAAAAUAAUUAUAGGGAUAGCUCGUGGUCUUCUUUAUCUACAUGAGUGUUGCGGGAUGCACAUUAUACAUGGCGAUUUAAGUCCACGAAGUAUUCUCUUAGAUUCUAAUAUGGCUCCUAAGAUUACUGAUUUUGCCUGCUCGAACAAUUAUCGUCCGGAUGAACACCGUGGUAGUUUACAUGGCACAAUGGGCUAUAUGGAUGCUAACAAUCACAGAGUUUACUCUGUGAGGAGCGACAUCUUUAGCUUUGGUAUGACUCUUCUUGAGAUCAUUACUGCACAGAGCACACGUGAACUUCAAAAUAACGAGAACUAUGAUCCUCUGAGACUUUGGACAAUGGAAAGAACGGCGCAGUUAAUAGAUCCAGCAUUGCAUGGUGAACCUCGUAUGGCUGAGAUAAUGAGAUGCAUUCAGGUAGCACUGUUGUGCACCGGAUCUGAUGGAAAAGACCCGCUAAGCAUGUGGGACGUUCUUCUGAUGCUCAGCUGCGAGAGUGCGGUCAUACCUACAGUCCCUACGCCACGGGGCGAGAAUCCGCAGAUUACACAACACCCAGAGGCGUCUGGUAGUGGAUGGGGUUACCAUGAUGAAGGGGAACUAUCAGAUUCAGAUAUCGUUGAACCAAGAUAGCUAGUGUGGGCGAGAUGGUGAUUUUCUGUGAAGGGGGCACUAGAAUAUGGAACUAACACCUUUGUUCAGACUGUUUCUUAACCAGGUUGUUCGCCUCUGCAAAUAAUCAAGUUAUGAAACCUCUAAAUAAAUGCAAGUGAAAGGAUACUGGAAAAGCAGUGGGGACUGCGAAAAAAGAAUGCAGGUCCAAUUACAAAAAAACAUGUGGAAGAGAAUGGGCUAUAAGAUGUUUGGCUUCUGCUACAAAUUUGGUUCUAUAGUCAUUUAUCUGACCAUUUUUGUCUGUCAAAUUCAGACUUUUGUUAGCCGUCGUUGUUACAUAUUUGACAACCCUAUCAUAAGCUCAAUUUGAUGCGUUUCGACUUCCAUGUAAGGCCAAAUCUUUGCAAAGUUUUUAUGAUCUUUAUAGGGUUACACAGAGUAGCAAUGCAUGCUGGGAGUUUUUUACCUGCCAAAAAGUGGAGCAGACAACAUGUAUGGAAGGCUUUAAUAUUGGUUGCACGAUCGCUUACGGGGUGACUGCUAAAGAUACGCUGAGUAUGGUUGGACUG